AGAGUUUGAUCAUGGCUCAGAUUGAACGCUGGCGGCAUGCCUUACACAUGCAAGUCGAACGGUAACAGGUCUUCGGAUGCUGACGAGUGGCGAACGGGUGAGUAAUACAUCGGAACGUGCCCGAUCGUGGGGGAUAACGGAGCGAAAGCUUUGCUAAUACCGCAUACGAUCUACGGAUGAAAGCGGGGGAUCUUCGGACCUCGCGCGGACGGAGCGGCCGAUGGCAGAUUAGGUAGUUGGUGGGAUAAAAGCUUACCAAGCCGACGAUCUGUAGCUGGUCUGAGAGGAUGAUCAGCCACACUGGGACUGAGACACGGCCCAGACUCCUACGGGAGGCAGCAGUGGGGAAUUUUGGACAAUGGGGGCAACCCUGAUCCAGCCAUGCCGCGUGCAGGAUGUAGGCCUUCGGGUUGUAAACUGCUUUUGUACGGAACGAAAAGACUCUGGUUAAUACCUGGGGUCCAUGACGGUACCGUAAGAAUAAGCACCGGCUAACUACGUGCCAGCAGCCGCGGUAAUACGUAGGGUGCAAGCGUUAAUCGGAAUUACUGGGCGUAAAGCGUGCGCAGGCGGUGAUGUAAGACAGAGGUGAAAUCCCCGGGCUCAACCUGGGAACUGCCUUUGUGACUGCAUCGCUGGAGUGCGGCAG
rnacentral:rRNA from 1 species